AUUUUAAUUCUUGUAAACUUUUACUUCAUUUUAAACAGUUCAGUUCUUAUGAACUAGGGGUAGCUACUAUUCAUUACUUAACUGAUAAUUAACAGCAGUUUUAUGUCACACAGCUCUUAACAGGCUAGAGAAGUCUUCAGCAUAUGAUACUGUAAACAAACUCCUAGUGAAGAAGUUGUACAAAGCUGUGAAGCUGUGUCAGGGGAGAUUUAGCAUCAUAUUGAGAUGACUUGUACUUCCUGUAAAGAAAUAAAGAAGUAAUACCUUAUAAGAUAUACUUUUUUAAGAAUAAGACCUUCGGAUUCAGUCUGAGGGAGAUCUGUGGUAGAAUCAAUAUAGUGCUGAUAAUCA
rnacentral:lncRNA from 1 species